UACGAAGGGGGCUAGCGUUGUUCGGAAUUACUGGGCGUAAAGCGUGCGCAGGCGGCUUCUCAAGUCAGGGGUGAAAGCCCAGAGCUCAACUCUGGAAUUGCCUUUGAGACUGAGUGGCUUGAGUACGAGAGAGGUGAGCGGAAUUCCCAGUGUAGAGGUGAAGUUCGUAGAUAUCAGGAGGAACACCGGUGGCGAAGGCGGGUCUCUGGGCCGGAACUGACGCUGAGGAGCGAAAGCGUGGGGAGCGAACAGG
rnacentral:rRNA from 1 species